GAGGAAGCAGCGCGGCCGAGCGGCGGGAGAGGGGGAAGGCCGCCGCGCUUGGGUGGGGUAAUCUAUGCCAGCAAUUAUGACAAUGUUAGCAGACCAUGCAGCUCGUCAGCUGCUGGAUUUUAACCAGAAACUGGAUAUCAAUCUCUUGGACAAUGUGGUGAACUGCUUGUACCAUGGAGAAGGCGCACAGCAAAGAAUGGCACAGGAAGUCUUGACUCACUUAAAAGAACAUCCCGAUGCAUGGACAAGAGUUGAUACUAUUUUGGAGUUCUCUCAGAACAUGAAUACCAAAUAUUAUGGACUGCAAAUCUUGGAAAAUGUGAUAAAAACAAGAUGGAAGAUUCUUCCAAGGAACCAGUGUGAAGGUAUUAAAAAAUACGUUGUUGGCCUAAUUAUCAAGACCUCAUCUGAUCCAACAUGUGUAGAAAAAGAGAAAGUAUAUAUUGGGAAACUGAACAUGAUUCUUGUUCAGAUACUGAAACAGGAAUGGCCAAAGCACUGGCCAACUUUUAUAAGUGAUAUUGUGGGAGCAAGCAGGACUAGUGAAAGCCUUUGUCAGAACAAUAUGGUGAUCCUUAAACUAUUGAGUGAAGAAGUGUUUGAUUUUUCCAGUGGCCAGAUCACCCAAGUAAAAGCUAAGCAUCUGAAAGACAGCAUGUGCAAUGAAUUCUCUCAGAUAUUUCAACUGUGUCAGUUUGUCAUGGAAAACUCCCAAAAUGCUCCUUUAGUUCAUGCAACUUUGGAAACUUUGUUACGAUUUCUGAACUGGAUUCCUCUGGGAUAUAUAUUUGAGACCAAGUUAAUCAGCACACUAAUAUACAAGUUCUUAAAUGUUCCCAUGUUUCGAAAUGUCUCUUUGAAGUGCCUCACAGAGAUUGCAGGUGUCAGUGUAAGCCAGUAUGAAGAACAGUUUGUAACGCUUUUUACACUGACCAUGAUGCAGUUGAAACAGAUGCUUCCUUUAAAUACCAACAUCCGACUUGCAUACUCAAACGGAAAAGAUGAUGAACAGAACUUCAUUCAGAAUCUCAGUUUGUUUCUCUGCACGUUCCUCAAGGAACAUGGUCAACUUAUAGAAAAAAGAUUAAAUCUGAGGGAAACAUUAAUGGAGGCUCUUCAUUAUAUGCUACUGGUAUCAGAAGUUGAAGAAACUGAAAUUUUCAAGAUUUGUCUUGAAUAUUGGAAUCAUUUAGCUGCUGAGCUCUACAGAGAAAGUCCGUUUUCAACAUCUGCCUCUCCAUUGCUUUCGGGAAGUCAACACUUCGAUGUUCCUCCAAGGAGACAGCUUUAUUUGCCUGUAUUGUCCAAGGUUCGAUUGCUAAUGGUUAGCCGUAUGGCUAAACCUGAAGAAGUCCUAGUUGUGGAAAAUGAUCAAGGGGAAGUAGUACGAGAAUUCAUGAAGGAUACAGAUUCCAUAAACUUGUAUAAAAACAUGAGAGAAACAUUGGUUUAUCUUACGCAUCUGGAUUAUGCAGACACAGAACGAAUUAUGACUGAAAAACUUCACAAUCAAGUGAACGGAACAGAAUGGUCGUGGAAAAAUUUGAAUACUCUGUGUUGGGCUAUAGGUUCCAUCAGUGGCGCGAUGCAUGAAGAAGACGAAAAACGAUUCCUUGUUACAGUAAUUAAGGAUCUCCUGGGACUCUGUGAACAAAAGCGAGGAAAAGACAAUAAAGCCAUUAUUGCAUCAAAUAUAAUGUAUAUAGUAGGUCAAUACCCAAGGUUUUUGAGAGCUCACUGGAAAUUUUUGAAGACAGUAGUCAACAAACUGUUUGAAUUUAUGCAUGAAACCCACGAUGGUGUCCAGGAUAUGGCUUGUGAUACCUUCAUAAAAAUAGCACAAAAAUGCCGCCGACAUUUUGUUCAGGUUCAAGUGGGAGAGGUCAUGCCAUUUAUUGAUGAAAUCUUGAACAAUAUUAAUACUAUCAUCUGUGACCUUCAGCCACAACAGGUGCAUACAUUCUACGAAGCAGUAGGAUACAUGAUUGGGGCACAGACAGACCAGACUGUGCAGGAACAUCUGAUAGAAAAAUACAUGUUGCUACCUAAUCAAGUAUGGGACAGCAUAAUUCAACAGGCAACAAAAAAUGUUGAUAUUCUAAAGGAUCCUGAAACAGUUAAGCAACUUGGUAGCAUUCUGAAAACCAAUGUAAGAGCAUGUAAAGCAGUUGGCCACCCCUUUGUGAUUCAGCUUGGAAGAAUUUAUUUAGAUAUGCUGAAUGUGUACAAGUGCCUAAGUGAAAAUAUUUCUGCAGCUAUUCAGGCUAAUGGUGAAAUGGUAACAAAGCAGCCCUUGAUUAGAAGUAUGAGGACUGUAAAAAGGGAAACUUUGAAACUAAUUUCUGGCUGGGUGAGCAGGUCCAAUGACCCUCAGAUGGUAGCUGAAAACUUUGUUCCUCCGUUGUUGGAUGCAGUUCUCAUUGACUACCAGAGAAAUGUGCCAGCUGCCAGAGAACCUGAAGUACUUAGUACUAUGGCUAUCAUUGUAAACAAGCUGGGUGGACACAUUACUGCUGAAAUACCUCAGAUAUUCGAUGCUGUUUUUGAGUGCACAUUAAAUAUGAUCAACAAGGACUUUGAAGAAUAUCCUGAACAUAGAACAAACUUCUUCUUACUGCUUCAGGCUGUAAAUUCUCAUUGCUUCCCAGCAUUCCUGGCCAUUCCACCUGCACAGUUCAAGCUUGUUCUGGAUUCUAUUAUUUGGGCUUUCAAACAUACAAUGAGAAAUGUUGCAGAUACAGGACUUCAGAUACUUUAUACUCUACUACAGAAUGUUGCACAAGAAGAGACUGCUGCCCAGAGUUUCUAUCAGACGUAUUUCUGUGAUAUCCUUCAGCACAUUUUCUCAGUGGUAACAGACACCUCACAUACUGCUGGUUUGACAAUGCAUGCAUCAAUCCUUGCAUACAUGUUCAACUUAGUAGAAGAGGGAAAAAUAAGUACUCCAUUAAACCCUGGAAAUCCAGUGAACAACCAAAUGUUUAUUCAGGAGUAUGUUGCUAAUCUUCUCAAAUCUGCAUUUCCUCAUCUGCAAGAGUAAGUCUGCUGUGAUUCUUUAAUGCUUUUAAGGAUGUUCAUAUGUCUUCAUAUACUAAUUGAUGUGUCUGCUGUUAGUGCCCAGGUUAAGUUGUUCGUGACAGGACUCUUCAGUUUAAACCAGGAUAUUCCUGCCUUCAAGGAACACCUAAGGGAUUUUCUGGUCCAAAUCAAGGAAUUUGCAGGUGAAGACACAUCAGACUUAUUCUUGGAGGAAAGAGAAACAGCCCUUCGGCAGGCUCAAGAGGAGAAGCAUAAACUUCAGAUGUCUGUACCUGGCAUCCUUAAUCCACAUGAAAUUCCUGAGGAGAUGUGCGAUUAAAAAACGAAAAACAAACCACAAACAAGUUUUGCAGUUUUCUUUCUGUACAGCUACUUUGUUGUCAUAGAAGAAAACAGCACUUGGAUAUUUGUUGACCAAAAUGAUGCCAAUUUGUAAAUUAAAAUGUCACCUAGUGGCCCUUUUUUCUUAUGUGUUUUUUGUAUAAGAAAUUUUCUGUGAAAUAUCCUUCCAUUGUUUAAGCUUUCGUUUGGUCAUCUUUAUUUAGAUUUGCAUGAAGUUGAAAAUUAAGGCAUUUUCAAAGUAAUUACUUCAUGCCCAUUUUGUUGCUAAGGGGAAAAUAGGCAAAACAUAACGUGUAAAAGACUAUAUUGCAAAACAAUACAAUUUCCUGUAAGAGUAUUGAUUUCAAAUUUGGGAACAUUUUCCUUCUAGUCUGUCCUGCAGUCUAGGAGAAAAGGUAAUGAGUAAAACAGACUAAAUUGAUUGUUAAGCAGAGGAUUAUAGUGCUGCAUUUGUUUUGAUCAGUUAGCAGCUUUUUGGACUGAGUGGUAAGGCUAGGCUACAUGUAUUUGCAAGUUGUAUGGCAAGUUUGCAGCAAGAUCAUGUGCAUAUCAUCCCAUUGUAAAGCAACUUCUAAAGAGUAUGGGAACACAGUACAGUUAGUUAUUUUUACACAGUUCUUUUGGUUUUGUGUGUGUGCUGUCGCCUUGUCGACAACAGCUUUUUGUUUUCCUCAAUGAGGAGUGUUGCUCAUUUGUGAGCCUUCAUUAACUCGAAGUGAAAUGGUUAAAAUAUUUAUCCUGUUAGAAUAGGCUGCAUCUUUUUAACAACUCAUAAAAUAAUAAAAAAAAAAACAACCUCUGGCUUUUGAGAUGACUUAUACUAAUUUACAUUGUUUACCAUGCUGUAGUGCUUAAAGAACACUACUUAAAAGCAAAAUAAACUUGGUUUACAUUUA